CAGUUGGUCAGAUGUGGUGCGAAAACGAGGAGAUCCCAGCCUCCUGAAACUUACAUGGCAUGGGCGGUUUGGUAAGAGGGAAUCUUAUCACUCUCUUCCCUGGGUGGUUGCUUUCUUACCAACACCUCCCAUUCCACUAAUUUUCAGUAGUUUUUCUCCCUUUAGUUCUGAAUAUCUUGGUCCGAUCUGUUGAUUUCAUGAGAUAUGUGAGAAACGAGGGUAGAAAAAUGAGAGAGUUUACGGGGAGAAUGGGGUGUGAGAUGAAAAAGGAAUGGAGGAAAAGGGAGAGAGAAUUAGCGGGAGCUGUGGGUAUGGGAGGAUUGGGGAGACGAUGAAUUAGGAAACUGGAUCUGAAGAAAAAAUUUUCUUCCCAAGACCCCCCAUGCCAACAGCUUCCGGUUGUUCCUCCCUUUCCCUGAUUUGUCCUUGUUCCGAUCUGAUUUUUUCUACUGGAGUUUGGAAAUAAUUUGUCUACAGGAUCAAGCUGAAUCAUACGAUUCUCAUUUGACAUAGAGUUUCCGGAAGAGAUAUGUAGUUGUUUUGCCAGCAUAUAACGGCAUGUUACCCGGUUUAUGUCAAAAGGGAGGUUAGGGCUAAUGAUCAAACCUUUUGACUCUGAUUUUGCUUGUAACAACCACCUGAAAAUAAGAAGGAAAACCAGGAAGGCUGAUUUUUGUUGUGAAUUGGAAAACAUUUUACAGAGAGGAGUGUAUAAUUGGAGAUCAGACCAUUCUCAAAGAGGGCGGAGGAUUAGAUUCUCCAUUCUCUUGGCCAUUUGCUUCGGCCAACAACUUUGUGUAAGGAUGACUAGAACCGCCCGAGCUUUUACGGCUCGUACCGACCGAAUAUUCUUAGGGUACGGCCUUGUGGUCUGGUCACUGGACAUCGUGAACACCGAUCUCUAGUUUGAACUUUGAAGCAACUGGGGCUGCUCAAAUCGGUCCAGGUUAGGAAAAGCCUAUGGUAUCCACGGUACAAAUUUAAAAAAUGAAGUACAAAGCAAUCAGAUGAUUUACUCAGUAUUGCCUUGUGAAUCCGGCGGAACUCUGCUGAAAAUUUUUUGGUGCGUUGUGAAAUUUCAAGGCAAAUUUGUGUUAGAGAAUGUGGAAGAGCUAUUUUAGAAUAAUGAUAUUUGUUUUUUUUUUUUUUAA